rnacentral:rRNA from 1 species
GGCCAGACUCCUACGGGAGGCAGCAGUGGGGAAUAUUGCACAAUGGGGGAAACCCUGAUGCAGCGACGCCGCGUGGGCGACGAAGCGCUCCGGCGCGUAAAGCCCUGUCAGCAGGGAAGAACAAAGACAGUACCUGACCAAGAAGCCCCGGCUAACUACGUGCCAGCAGCCGCGGUAAUACGUAGGGGGCAAGCGUUAUCCGGAUUUACUGGGUGUAAAGGGGGCGCAGACGGCGAUGCAAGCCAGGAGUGAAAGCCCGGGGCCCAACCCCGAGACUGCUCUUGGAACUGCGUGGCUGGAGUGCAGGAGGGGCAGGCGGAAUUCCUGGUGUAGCGGUGAAAUGCGUAGAUAUCAGGAGGAACACCGGUGGCGAAGGCGGCCUGCUGGACUGCAACUGACGUUGAGGCCCGAAAGCGUGGGGAGCAAACAGGAUUAGAUACCCGCGUAGAU